GACGAACGCUGGCGGCGUGCCUAAUACAUGCAAGUCGAACGCAGUGGGGACGGGUGAGUAACACGUGGGUAACCUCCCAUCAGAGGGGAUAACACUUGGAAACAGGUGCUAAACCGAUACUGAUGGAUGGACCCGCGGUGCAUUAGCUAGUUGGUGAGGUAAAGGCUCACCAAGGUCACGAUGCAUAGCCGAACUGGAAGGGUGAGCGGCCACACUGGGACGGAGACACAGCCCAGACUCCGACGAGAGGCAGCAGGAGGGAAUCUGCGGCAAUGGACGAAAGUCUGACCGAGCAAGGACGCGGGAGGGAAAAAGGUUUUCGGAUCGUAAAACACUGUUGUUAGAGAAGCGGUAUCUAACCAGAAAGCCACGGCUAACUACGUGCCAGCAGCCGCGGUAAUAC
rnacentral:rRNA from 1 species